UCCAUAUUAAAAGGCAAAGACAACACAGAAAAAAGCAGUAGAGUCCACGAGCCAGCAUGCUGAUAGACUUCCCCCGUUCGUCUCAAAUCUGCAUGCAGACAACUACUUUAUGGAUAUUUGGGUUUCCUCACCAUAGCAACAGAGCUGCAAAACCGUACCGUACAGUCUCUCAUCACACACAGUCGUGCCUGGGAUCGCACGGCACGCGGGAGAGAGAGGGAAAGGACUCCGCUUCCAUGCGCCUUAAUCUCUGGAGGAAUUUUUCUCAUUACAACCAUGACAGUUCACUUACAACAGCACCCAAGAGCCAAGGGUCAUGUUCACAGUCGCCGGUCGAGCAGUCGUUCCUGCAUUCAACUGAGAGACAAAUGGAGGGAUGCAACAAUUUCACUGUUUGCUCACCAUGACGGAGCCGCUCUGUGCUGAAUCCUUUUGUGUCACGCAGCCAAGCUUCUGUCCUCGCCUCACGCCUGUGGGUUAACUGCCAGAGGAAGGCUGGAAGAGCCCCCUCCUCUUCCACACCGCCAAUCUGCAAUUUUUACUCAAUCUGCCUCUCUUGUCUCGGUUUACCUCAGUGUGCGAAUAUCUCCACCCCUUUCUCUCACUCUCUCAUGCUUUCUCUCUCCCUCCCACAGCUUGCUAUCUCUCCUCCCCUCGUGCCUUCAAAGCCAGUCUGCUCGCCACUUUAGGGCUGCUUGCUAGAUGAUCUCUCGGAAAACAACAUCCGCUUCUGUCUCCGGCAGCUCCAUGUCGAGGCUUCUUUAGGAUUUUUUGUCCAAGGCAGCAGGAUGCUGAUGUGCCGGCACUGAUUCUUCUACUUACCUUCUAAUUUUCCCCUUUCCCCUUCCCUCUCCUAAUCUCCUGCCCUCUGACCUUCAUCACCACCUUUCACCUGUUCCCUUCCAUCCCUAUUCCCUCUCUUUCUUCGUCCCUCUUUCUUGACCAUGUUGCCAUGUGUCUGCCGGUUCCAGCCUGUCCUUGCUUUGCUAUCCUUAACUUUCUUUACUCAAGGGGAAAACUGUCCAGCGACCUGCCUGUGUCCAGACCCUCACACCGUAGACUGUAGCGGACGAGGACUUACCCGUCUACCGGAAGAGAUCCCGUUGGAUGUGAGAAGACUGCUGUUGGCCGACAACUGGAUCCCACGUAUUCCCUCGGACUUCCUAGUGCUCUUCAGUGACCUGGUCUAUCUUGACCUCCGCAACAACUCGCUGUCACGCAUUGAGCCGGGCACCCUUAGCACUUCCUCCAGGUUAGUUUUCCUGGACCUCGGCUGCAACAACCUGACUGAGAUCCCCAAAGGGACUUUUGGAGAGUCGAGGAGCUUAAUUAAGUUGCGCCUGGGCAAUAACCCCUACUUAAGCAUGGUCAACGAAGACGCCUUCACGGGUCUCACCUCCUUGCGUGAACUUGAACUAGAACGCAAUGCUUUAUCUGGGCUACAGGUGGGUGCCCUGAGCCAGCUGCCCUCGCUCCGGAUGGUAAGGUUAGAAGGCAACCCUUGGGUGUGUAACUGCAACUUUGCCAACCUGUUUACUUGGCUGGUGGAGAACAGUCGCAAGCUUCCUCAUGGUAUAGAGAGUAUGGAGUGCUCUUUGCCCACCGAUGGUCGCCGUGUGCCUCUCAGCCAGCUUUCCCAGGACAGUUUUCGGGAAUGUCAGAUGACCCUGACCCUCACAGAUUUCCUCAUCAUCAUCUUCUCGGGCAUCUCCGUCUCUGUGGCCGCCAUCAUGGCCAGCUUCUUCCUGGCGUCAACCGUACACUGUUUCCAGCGCUGGAGCAAAGGAACCAAAGGAGAUGAAGAAGAGAGUGAAGAAUGAGAAGGAUGAGAUGAUUACCUUCAAUCUGAUUCCGAGCCAAGACUUGGAGUAGCGGAGAGAUAAACAUUAAGACUCUACAGACACCUGCUCUGUGGUCACCGGCUUCUCAGUUGGACAAAUGUAUCUGGUGACAGUGCUACUAAAAUGACUAGUAUGCAUUACUGGACUUCUGGUAUGCGGGACAACAGCGUGAAGUGAAUUGGAAGUAAAACGUGACCUAGAAACUCCUGAGAGAACAACAGCAAGGAAUGCUGGGUAAAAGAAACUGACACCUCUGGAGAGAUCUGUAUGCAGAGGCUCACUGGUCCUCCCCUAAACUUCAAGUAAAGACAGCUGCUCAGGUUACUGUACUAUAUCCUGUGGGGUCAGGACUUGCACGCUCUUUUUUUAUUUACAGUACAGAGUGGUUGGAAAUUGCUGCGGUUUUACAGGUCAUUCAAAAAUGGAUGGAUCUAUUUAGUAUUUUUUAUAAUUUAAAAUAAUACAAAAUUUUAAUAAUUUAAUAUAGUUAAACUGGAAAGCAGCUCAAAUCAAUUUGAAAAUUCCUUGGGUCAGCGUAUAAAGAUUUUUAUUCUCAGAACUAAGGAACCAAGUUUAGGGACGAUGCAUCUAGGUGUCACAAUCAUCCUAAAAAUUGCUGGCUUAUUUUCAACCCAGCAUUGGGUCAAAAAGGAACAAACCCAACUGCUGGGCUAAAUUAAAUCAUAAUUUUUUUAUAUUUGACCCAACUAUGAGUUAAAAAACAGCAUUUUGGGUUGAAACUACUUAGCAUAGAUUAGCUACAUUACAGCCAUUAAUUACAUUACAGGGUUCAUCCCUUUUUGACCCAACACUGGGCAUCUUGUUAUUACUUUGGUACAAAAAUCAAAUAGCUAAACAGCAUAUAAAAAGCAUGUUAUAAAACGGCUCAUUCUGGUUCUUCAUUCUGGUUCUAAGCCAUGAUAAAAUACCCCGGUAACCCCACGGUUCAGACUGCAUUGCAUAAGUAUCACUGCGCCACUGUUGCUGCGUACUGAUUUAUGAAAAUAAACACCACAGUCUUUAAUCAUAUUUUUAAUUAGUCUACAAUUGCACAAUUAAUGACGAAAUCCAGAUAAAUGGCAAUAAAUAUUGUUGAGUCAUCUCGUCAAUAAAGAGAAAACGUUCCCUGAGGAGUUUCUACCUCAAAUCCAUAUAUCCGCUUUUAUCCACUAGGUGGCAAUCUUACCCAACUUAAACAGUGACGCAUUCACUCAACACUAAAAACACCGUGUAAGUUUUGAUCAUGACUCUGAAUCUGAUCUCUUACAAAAGUUCUUCACAAAAAUUUAAUUAUCUCAGCUUUUAGCUGUAAAUUUGAGAGGUGAUAAGAGAACAAAUGAAGCUAAGAUGAAACUUUUUUUUAAAGCGAACCGUCUGUUCUUUCGUUUGAUAUAUUUUAUGUUUAUUUAAAGAACAUUUUUCUGGAAGGCAUUAAACUAAAACUGGGUGGCAAUAUUUAAAAAAAACGCUGACGGGGAAAGAGUAAAGCAUGCCUCAAGCAUAUUUGAUCAUCACUUCAACAGUUGCAUGAUAUAAAUGUGAAUGUAUAAAUUAGAUGAAUGUUGAUUUAUAAAAAUAAACACUAGUCUUUAAUUA